UGUACCUGCUCCUGUAGAGUGACUCACCUGCCCCUAUAGAGUAGGUGAGCUGGAUACCUGCUCUGCAGGUUAAUGUACAGUAGUGUGUGUGUCUCUGUAGGGUAACUCUGCAGGUUAAUGUACAGUAGUGUGUGUGUCUCUGUAGGGCAGGGGUCACCAACACGGUGCCCGGGGGCACCAGGUCGCCCCCAAGGACCACAUGAGUCGCCCGCAGGC